GAUAGAAGGUGAAAGCUCAAGUGAUCAUCUUAGUAAUAGCCUUUUAAGUUUUUUGGAAAAUGAGAAACUCUCAUCUCUUGCAAGCUCAGAAGAAGAUUCCACUGAUAACGAUAUUGAUGAUGAAGAGUUCUUUGAUAACCAAUUAGAAGCCUAUUUUGAGCAGCUGAUACAACCAGAAAUGACAAGAGGAGACACUGACAUACAGAAACUCUCAGAAUGCUGUACAGCACUGAAGCUUUCUGAAAAUGGCUUACUUCAGGAGAACUUUCAGAUUCCUGACACUUACCAGGCUGUGACAGGAGUAGAC
rnacentral:lncRNA from 1 species